rnacentral:rRNA from 1 species
GACAGAGGUCCCGAGCGUUAGGCGGAAUCACUGGGCUUAAAGCGUGUGUAGGCGGACUUGUAAGUACCUUGUGAAAUCCCACGGCUUAACCGUGGAACUGCUUGGUAUACUGCUUGUCUUGGACCACUUAGGGGCUACCGGAACAAACGGUGGAGCGGUGAAAUGCGUAGAUAUCGUUUGGAACGCCAAUGGUGAAAACAGGUAGCUGGGAGUGUGCCGACGCUGAGACACGAAAGCCAGUGGAGCGAACGGGAUUAGAUACCCCGGUAGUCCUGGCUGUAAACGAUGUCGACUAGAUCGUGGCGGCUCUGACGCUGUCACGGUCGAAGCAAAAGUGCUAAGUCGACCGCCUGGGAAGUACGGUCGCAAGGCUAAA